GUGUCAGCCGCCGCGGUAAUACGAAGGGUGCAAACGUUGCUCGGAAUCAUUGGGCGUAAAGCGCACGUAGGCGGCCUGUUAAGUCGGAUGUGAAAUCCCUCGGCUCAACCGAGGACGUGCAUUCGAAACUGGCAAGCUCGAGUAUGGAAGAGGGUCGCGGAAUUCCCGGUGUAGAGGUGAAAUUCGUAGAUAUCGGGAGGAACACCAGUGGCGAAGGCGGCGACCUGGGCCAAUACUGACGCUGAGGUGCGAAAGCGUGGGGAGCAAACAGGAUUAGAAACCCUGGUAGUCC
rnacentral:rRNA from 1 species